rnacentral:lncRNA from 1 species
GAAAACAUAAAAGCAUGAAAAAUAAAUUUGACAAUGAUUUCUCCAUCUUUUAAAUUUGUAAAAUAAAAUGCCAUUCUGUAUAUAAUGAUAAUUAAACAUAUGUUUCAAAUUUAAAUGAACUUUUGGCUAAUUGAUUGACAGUAGUUAGACAAUUUUAUACAAAACUGUCUUCCAGUAGAUGAUGAUGUUGAUGCUAUUAUAAAAUAAAAGUUUGUUUAGGGGACUAUAUAUGGAUUACAUGUAUGCAGCUUUGAGUAACACUGAUUUUCAAUAUUAAGGUGGUACCUAACACUUUAACUAAAAUUAAUUUGGCUCGUUUAAUUUUCUUAAAAUUUUGACAAAGUAUUUACUUUGACCCUUUGACAAAAUAUAUAAAAAUUUCAAAAAAUUUGAACCAACCGUUUAAUCAGAAAAAAUACACUGGUUAUAUAGCAGUUUGACAAACACUUAUUUUGAUCAUUGAGAAGCUUAAUAUUCCCUUAUGAACACAACGUCAUUAAAACGUUCUGCUGAUUUUACAGAGUUAUCUCCCUGUAGUGUUAGGUACCACCUUAAGUAAUAAUCAGCAAAUAUUUAAGUCCUUCAAAAUAACAUAAGAAGACAACAAUCUACAUUUUAUAAGAUAGUCAAAUACUAUGAAAAGCUUGAGUUCACAACUUUAACACAUAAACACUUAAGGACAACCUGGUUUAAAUUGUAAUUUUUUAUCAGAAUCUCAAAACAUAUCAUUUCUUUGUCCUACUACAUUUGUUGAAGUUGAAAACUGAUGAAAUAAACCAGUUUCCUUACAUUGAUUGAUGAUUGCUUAACGUUGCACCAGAAGUUCUGAUCCAGAACAAAAAGAUUAUAUCACAACAAAAUUCUUUAAGAAUACAAAAAUCUGCAUGACAACAUAUAGAAAUCUUGGACUUCAAUAAAAAAUUGUUCAUAAAUCAAUCCACUAUAAACCUAGACAAGACAUGACAGCUUCGUAAUUGAUUAAAACAUUUCAAAGUUUUAAAUCUCUUGAAAGAUUUUUCUAUAUAGUAGGGGGAAAAAAUGAAAUUGUUAAAAAAAAAAUGUCAAUUUGAUUUUGACUUGAUGUUUUCCAAAGACAACUGUAUGUAAAUAUGGUUUUCUAAUAAUAUCUAUGCUACGGCAAAUAAUUACAAGGUUUUGGAGAUUGAGCAAUAGGCAAAAUUUAUGAAGUUGACCAUCUAAAACAUAAGUGUAAAACAUACUAGUACAAAUCAAAUCAAUUAAAGCUUAAUUUUGGCAAGAUUUUUUUCUUUACAAAUUUUUUCUACUUUUAAAGACCACCAUAAAAUAAGAAUUCUGGAUUCACAUUAAUUCAACUUAUUUUGAGACUCAUAAAGGCAGACGUUGUUUUUAUCAUUAUAAUUUUAAAUUAUUUUUGGAAGAUUUUUGAAAGAAAGAAAUUUAUCUUUUUUUUUAUAGAUAAAAUGAUAAAAAUAAUCAUUUAUACUAUGAAUUUAAGGUCAUGUGGGUCAUGCCAAUGUUACAGCAACCCAAUAUCACAAAAAAAUUGUACCAGAAAAACUAUUCAUAUCAAGUCAUGAACAUAGCAGUAUAACUUACGAUAUAUUUGUGAUAAGAACCCCACUUGGGACUGGCACAUAAACAUAAUUUAAUGAUUAUGCAUUAUGGUAAAAGAAACUAGGGUUUUGAUCAGUCUCGUCUAGAAAGACUGGGCAUAACUAAAAGUUACACUAGUACUGCCAACUAUGUCAAACAUUUGGAAAAUAGACUUAUCAUACAUAGUGAAGUUGUGUUAGUUUGAUCAAAUACCAGUAGGUUGGUCAAUAUGUGUCUUUAGGUGACAUUUUUUGAAUAUAUAUUGAGAUUCAAUUAUAAUUACUUUGGUUAUUUUUAUGUUGAUUUGUUUUUCUUUUUCUUUUUUUAAGUCAAACAAUACUUAUUUUAUAUUACACAUUAUGCUUUCCACAAGCUUG